rnacentral:rRNA from 1 species
GAUGAACGCUGGCGGCGUGCUUAACACAUGCAAGUCGAACGGUGAACACGGAGCUUGCUCUGUGGGAUCAGUGGCGAACGGGUGAGUAACACGUGAGCAACCUGCCCCUGACUCUGGGAUAAGCGCUGGAAACGGCGGCUAAUACUGGAUAUGUGACGUGACCGCAUGGUCUGCGUUUGGAAAGAUUUUUCGGUUGGGGAUGGGCUGGCGGCCUAUCAGCUUGUUGGUGAGGUAAUGGCUCACCAAGGCGUCGACGGGUAGCCGGCCUGAGAGGGUGACCGGCCACCAUGGGACUGAGACACGGCCCAGACUCCUACGGGAGGCAGCAGUGGGGAAUAUUGCAGAAUGGGCGCAAGCCUGAUGCAGCAACGCCGCGUGAGGGAUGACGGCCUUCGGGUUGUAAACCUCUUUUAGCAGGGAAGAAGCGAAAGUGACGGUACCUGCAGAAAAAGCGCCGGCUAACUACGUG